AGUAGCAUCCCUUGAAUCUGCACUCAAGGGAUGCUACUCGGAAAUCCCACUGAAGUCCUUUU
ensembl:miRNA